AGGGAAUCUUCCGCAAUGGACGCAACUCUGAUGCAGCAACGCCGCGUGAGUGAUGAAGGUCUUCGGAUUGUAAAGCUCUGUCUUCUGGGACGAUAAUGACGGUACCAGAGGAGGAAGCCACGGCUAACUACGUGCCAGCAGCCGCGGUAAUACGUAGGUGGCAAGCGUUGUCCGGAUUUACUGGGCGUAAAGGAUGUGUAGGCGGAUAUUUAAGUGAGAUGUGAAAUCCCCGGGCUUAACUUGGGGGCCGCAUUUCAAACUGGAUGUCUAGAGUGCAGGAGAGGAAAGCAGAAUUCCUAGUGUAGCGGUGAAAUGCGUAGAGAUUAGGAAGAAUACCAGUGGCGAAGGCGGCUUUCUGGACUGUAACUGACGCUGAGGCAUGAAAGCGUGGGGAGCAAAC
rnacentral:rRNA from 1 species